UACAGAGGUCUCAAGCGUUGUUCAGAUUCAUUGGGCGUAAAGGGUGCGUAGGCGGCGCGGUAAGUCGGAUGUGAAAUCUCGGAGCUUAACUUCGAAACUGCAUUCGAUACUGCCGUGCUUGAGGACUGGAGAGGAGACUGGAAUUUACGGUGUAGCGGUGAAAUGCGUAGAUAUCGUAAGGAAGACCAGUGGCGAAGGCGGGUCUCUGGACAGUUCCUGACGCUGAGGCACGAAGGCCAGGGGAGCAAACGGG
rnacentral:rRNA from 1 species